UGGACACCCCACAUAUGUUACCCACUGCAUUAGGUCACAUGAGGUCAGCUUCCUAGAGGCCCAGGGUUUGGCUAAAGAUCUUUAAUCUGCAGUCCUUGAAGUUCCCAUGACUCUCCUGAAACCGUCUACCAACUUGCUGGGGGUGUGCUGAAGAAAUCACAGAUUCCAUCGGCUUUUCAAGUGUUCCUAACUGCCUCCAAAAGAUUAAUGACCAGAGCAGGGGAAGAAAGAAAGCAGACCAAAGGUGGACGGCGAUACAGCGGAGCAGGUGCUAUGAUCGAGUGAGGGGUCCGGGGCCCGUCCAGUCCUGACCAGCUCAGCCUGAAGCAGACACAGCUGACUCCACGUUCCUGGAAAACAGCCCAGGCGAACAUCUUACUGUUCAGGCUUCACGGUGCUCGGAGGACGUGCACGUCUUAAAACGACCUUGAUGAGUGAAGGAUUCCAGUGCAGGAUGGGACAUCACAUGCGGCCUCUGAUAUGACACUAAUUCAGCAACACCACUCGUAAAACUUAAAGCUAUUUGCUUAAAAAGACUCUCCAACC